rnacentral:rRNA from 1 species
CUGGGCAUUAACUGACGCUGAGGAGCGAAAGCAUGGGGAGCGAACAGGAUUAGAUACCCUGGUAGUCCAUGCCGUAAACGUUGGGCACUAGGUGUGGGGGACAUUCCACGUUUUUCCGCGCCGUAGCUAACGCAUUAAGUGCCCCGCCUGGGGAGUACGGCCGCCAGGCUAAAACUCAAAGGAAUUGACGGGGGCCCGCACAAGAA